GGGAUCAAACCGAGAUCUCCCGCAUUGCAAGUGGAUUCUUUAUCGGCUGAGCCACAAAGGGAAGCCCUUAAAGAUAAAAGCUCAACAAAAAUCUCUUUGUUCAGCCACAUUCAAUGGUUUACAUGCCUUUAUCUUUCUUUAGAAAUCUAUGUAGGCCAACACUUUCUAAGCUAAGACUCAUAAUCUACAACUCACAUCUUACCUAAUAGCAAAAUUUCAUGAACAAUAGCUGUUCCUAAUGAACUGCCCUUGUUCUUUCAUAUACUUACUCUAUUUAUAAAAAAUGAACUUAACCAACAUGCCAAGAAUUUUUCAAGGACACGUGUGUGCUUAUAUCAUGAAGCCAGAUCCCUUCGACUUUGCCCAACCAUUCGAGCUGUCUUUGAUCCUAGGAUACGACUUCCAGAAUCCUAUAACCUCUUUAGUGCUUCACUACAUGCAUCAAUAUGAAACGUGUAACAAUUUUACGAUGAUUCUUGUUAAACAGAAGCCUUUUCUACGUUAGCUCAUAAAAGUUAAUUCCCUAUUUCCUCUUCCCAAAGAAUAAAUGAUCUUUGCCCUCCUGUGGAUAAUUGGAUCAUGAAGGUAGAUGUGUUUGUGGCCCUGGUGUUCCCUGAGAAGUUUUAUUUAUCUGUGGAUUUUAUCUGAAGAAAGGCAGUCAGAGGAUGUUCUUUAGAGGCCAAGCACACUCUUGUGUCACAGAAGAUAUCUUCUCAUCUGUCCUGUGAGGAUUUUCAUUCUCCUUCUUGUAAAUGGUGACUGCAGCCAUGAAAUUAAAAGACACUUACUCCUCAGAAGAAAAGUUAUGACCAAUCUAGACAGCAUAUUAAAAAGCAGAGACAUUAUUUUGCCAACAAAGGUCCGUCUAGUCAAAGUUAUGGUUUUUGCAGUGGUCAUGUAUGGAUGUGAGAGUUAGACUGUGAAGAAAACUGAGCGCCAAAGAAUUGAUGCCUUUGAACUGUGGUGUUGGAGAAGACUCUUAAGAGUCCCUGGGACUGCAAGGAGAUCCAACCAGUCCAUCCCAAAGGAAAUCAGUCUUGAAUAUUCCUUGGAAAGACUGAUGCUGAAGCUGAAACUCCAAUACUCUGGCCACCUGAUGCGAAGAACUGACUCAUUUGAAAAGGCCCUGAUGCUGGGAAAGAUUGAAGGCACGAGGAGAAGGGGAUGACAGAGGAUGAGAUGGUUGGAUGGUAUCACUGACUCAAUGGACAUGAGUCUGAGUAAACUCUGGGAGUUGGUAAUGGAUGGGGAGACCUGGCGUGCUGCAGUCCAUGGGGUCGCAAAGAGUCAGACACAACUGAGAGACUAAACUGAACUGACUCUUGUAAAUGAACCAAGUUUUAGUUACAUCUUCUUUCUGCUGAGUUGAGUGUCUUGUGAGAAGAGAUGGAAACCACCAUGACUGUCAAGAUGUUGCUCUUUGCACAUUAUGACCCAGAGCACAAACGCUCACACAGCUUCACCAGCUUGUUCCAGUGUGAACGCUCAACUUGGGGUGCUGGUCCGGUCCUGUGCAUUCACAGCACACCCGGGGCUCACGUGUUCUAUAGCACAGGACCAACCCAGAAAGGAUACGCAGUAAGAAUUUACUGACACUGAAUCUGGAAGAUUUGACAUUCUCUGCCCUUCUUUCAGUCUGGAAUAAGGAGCAGUAGGCAUUUGCCAAUUUGAGUGGUCCUCCCUGAGACUGCUGAGUAGUUUGGCAUUGUGGGAAUUUGUUUCACACUAUUCUGAGUGUGCAAUCCAACCCUAAACCCUCUCACUACAGUUCCAUCCCAUUGCUAUUACUUGAAAUAAAGGGCAAGUGUGUAUGCGGGUGUGCUAAGUCAUUUCAGUUGUGUCCGACUCUGCAUGACCUCACUGACUGUAGCCCGCCAGGCUCCACUGUCCAUGGGAAUCUCCAGGCAAGAAUACUGGAGUGGAUUGUCACACCCUCCUCAAGAGGAUCUUCCUGACCCAGGGAUAGAACCCAUGUCUCUUACAUCUCCUGCAUUGGCAGGAGAGAUUCACAAGCUGCUAUGAAAGUGAUGGCUACAGGUGUCUAAAUCUGAUUGAGGAGAGAAUGUCUUGAAUGAGAAUUCCAGGCAAGUAGUUCAUUUGGGAGAUGGCUCCAGGAAGCCCUGAGCUGAGUGGACGGGAAAGGCAGCCAGUGCAGGAGAUUUAGCAGGCAAGCCACCAGAGCCUCAUUUCACUGGGGACGUCACGGAACAUGCAUCUCUGGGUUAUGCCCCCUCUCGCAUAGGAGUGAGGGAUUUGGGGUAUUUAUCCACCAACACCUGUCCAUUAUUAACUGUGGGCUGCUCCCAGGGGAUGUCAGGUCCCAGGAAGUCUAGUAGGCUGUGCACUCUGGGAGAGCAGGCUCCAGGGCCCCCAGAAGGGAAAUAAAGUGACAUGGGGGUGCUCUCCAAAGUCAGGCCAGUGUAAUAACCUACGAUUGUGGAAAUGACUGUAACAACAUGUGGAUUUUCCCCUUUAGACUAAUUUUUAUCAUUUGGAAAAUGCUAGGAGCUUCCCUGGUGGCUCAGAUGGAAAAUAAUUUGCCUGCAAUGUGGGAGACCUGGGUUUGAUUCCUGGGUUGGGAAGAUCCUCUGGAGAAGUGACAGAGACUUGGAUUAAACUGCAUGUUUUUAAAUGAAUGAAGAAGAAUUCCUUGGACUACAGGGAGAUUAAAAAUAGCUGAGCACUGAAGAAUUGAUGCUUUUGAACUGUGGUACUGGAGAAGACUCCUGAGAGUCCCUUGGACUGCAAGGAGAUCCACCCAGUCCAUCCUAAAGGAGAUCAGUCCUGAAUAUUCACUGGAAGGACUGAUGCUGAAGCUGAAGCUCCAGUACUUUAGCCACCUGAUGUGAAGAGCUGACUCAUUAGAAAAGACCCCAAUGUUGGGAAAGGUUGAAGACAGAAGGAGAAGGGGAUGACAGAAGACCAGAUGGUUGGAUGGCAUCACCGACUCAAUGGACAUGAGUUUGAGCAAGCACCAGGAGAUGGUGAAGGACAGAGAAACCUGGCGUGCUGCAGUCCAUGGGAUCCACGGAGAAUCAGACAAGACUGAGCAACUGAACAAAAAUUAAACUCAAAUCUUGCCCGUCAACAGCUGACUUUGAACCCACAUAUUAAGAAACUUCAAAAAAGUAUUGUUCUACAUAUAAAUCCCUCUUUUUAAAACUUUUGCAACUUUUGAUGAGAGUUUUCCCCCUUCUUAAAAAAGAAACUCACCUUUGUUGAGUAUUUACUCUCUACCAAAAGUUGCAACAUUUUCCAAGUGAGAAAAGAACAUGCUGUCAUGAUCUGAUCAGUGACACUGUUACUGCUAUUCAGGUGCUGCCAGGUUCCCGGCAUCAUGUGAACCCAUGACCCAAACAUACCAUCUGUGGGACACCACUUCACAUCCCUGACAUCUUGCCACAGUGAUUUUUUUUUUUUUUUUUACUGUUUUUACCAUAACAUUGUUGACUCCCAGGAAUGAUUUACUUGUUAUGAGAAUUUUCCAGUAAAUGGUAAUAAGACGCCACGAUCUAACAAAAUUAGAAUAUUACAACAAUUUUGACAAUGGAAGUAAAGAAAUUGUUUUUAACUUAAGGAAUUAUCAUAAUCAAAUGACAGUGUCAAUCUAGCACCUAAAAUAGCCAGUGACUCUAAACAAAGAUUAGGCAAGUAAUGAACUCACGGGUGAGGACUUGCACAUGUAAAAUUUUUUUUUAAAUCCUUAUUGUGAAUGGCACAGUGCCAGUAUAUAAUAUACUUUAUUGACAUUCAAAUCAUCUGUUGUUUUUUAAAGUACUAAGGUG
ensembl:lncRNA